GCUACCUUAGUAUUGUAACUUACCAAGUAAAACAAGCCCAUCCAAACGAAAAGCAGUAGCAGGCUAAGCUCACCUUCACCAUCUGUCGCCGCCACUGUUCCACCCUUUGACCACCACUGGAAAGAUGCCAUUUCUUCCUUAAAACACCUCCUUCUCACCUCUAUCGGAUCUCCUGAACUACCACAGUAGCGACAAAACAGCCGCGAAACCAUCUCCAAAAACCACCCAUAAUCCACCGCGAAACCGUGUUUUACGAUUUGGUGGGUCUUGGAGGGUGUCUUAGUAUCUUGGCUAGAAAAUACAAAAUUGAUGCUUGGAUUAUGAAAGAAUAUGGGGUUGCGGCGUCUUGGACCAAAUUUAGUGUUAUAAGCCAAGGUUCAGGUUUCACCCCUGUGUGUUUGAUGAAUGAUGAUGAUAUUGUAUUGGAUGUGGCUGCAGAAGAGAAGUUGAUUGUCUACAAUAAGAAAGAGGAACUGUGGAGAGAUUUGAAUGUUGAUGGAAUAAUAGCUAAGUUUCCAAGGACUAGAACUUUCAUAGAGAGUCUUGUCUCUCCUAUGUUUGGCCUUGGUGCAAUAUUUUGAGAUGAAGAUCUACUCAGUGACAGGGAUAUGUCUGCUUCUAUGGAAUUGAUUGUUAGAGAACUGUGGACAGAGUCACUGAGGCCUGGAUCUCAACAAUAUAUUUUAUUUCCAAGAGUAUUACUCUGUAAUUAUGAUGUUAUAAAAUGGAUACUCUUUCAAGAAAGAUCACUUCAUAGAAGUAGAAUUUUUGAAGUAGACUUGCAUUUGUGGUAUCGCAUACUAUGUAGUAUACAAAGGACGGCACUAUAGCACCAUUAGGAGAAGCUGGUUCCGAUAGUUGAUUGUUCACAUCUCAAUUGAGUUGAUCCUUUGAAUUGCUGUAAACAAAUUUUUAGCUUUGCAAUGUUUUAGCAUGUCGGAGACAAUUGUGCUUA